rnacentral:rRNA from 1 species
AGUGAACGCUGGCGGUAGGCCUAACACAUGCAAGUCGAACGGCAGCACAGUAAGAGCUUGCUCUUACGGGUGGCGAGUGGCGGACGGGUGAGGAAUACAUCGGAAUCUACUUUUUCGUGGGGGAUAACGUAGGGAAACUUACGCUAAUACCGCAUACGACCUACGGGUGAAAGCAGGGGAUCUUCGGACCUUGCGCGAUUGAAUGAGCCGAUGUCGGAGUAGCUAGUUGGCGGGGUAAAGGCCCACCAAGGCGACGAUCCGUAGCUGGUCAGAGAGGAUGAUCAGCCACACUGGGACUGAGACACGGUCCAGAGUCCUACGGGAGGCAGCAGUGGGGAAUAUUGGAGCAUGGGCGCAAGCCUGAGCCAGCCAUACCGCGUGGGUGAAGAAGGCCUUCGGGUUGUAAAGCCCUUUUGUUGGGAAAGAAAAGCAGCAGGUUAAUACCCCGCUGUUAUGACGGUACCCAAAGAAUAAGCACCGGCUAACUUCGUG